UACGAAGGGGGCUAGCGUUGCUCGGAAUCACUGUGCGUAAAGGGUGCGUAGGCGGGUCUUUAAGUCAGGGGUGAAAUCCUGGAGCUCAACUCCAGAACUGCCUUUGAUACUGAAGAUCUUGAGUUCGGGAGAGGUGAGUGGAACUGCGAGUGUAGAGGUGAAAUUCGUAGAUAUUCGCAAGAACACCAGUGGCGAAGGCGGCUCACUGGCCCGAUACUGACGCUGAGGCACGAAAGCGUGGGGAGCAAACAGG
rnacentral:rRNA from 1 species